UACGUAGGUGGCAAGCGUUGUCCGGAUUUACUGGGCGUAAAGAGCGCGCAGGCGGUCGGAUAAGUCGAAUGUGAAAGCCCCCGGCUCAACUGGGGAGGGUCAUUCGAUACUGUUCGACUCGAAGGCAGGAGAGGGAAGUGGAAUUCCCGGUGUAGUGGUGAAAUGUGUAGAGAUCGGGAGGAACACCGGUGGCGAAGGCGGGUCUCUGGGCAAUUCCUGACGCUGAGGCGCGAAAGCGUGGGGAGCAAACAGG
rnacentral:rRNA from 1 species